GGUAAUUCAUGUACAGGAUAGGUGGGAGACUUAGAAGCAGAGUCGUUAGGCGCUGUGGAGUCACCCUUGGGAUACCACCCUUGGAUUGCUGGGUUUCUAACCUGCGGCCAUGAAUCUGGUCGGGGGACACUGUUAGGCGGGCAGUUUGACUGGGGCGGUCGCCUCCUAAAGUGUAGCGGAGGCGCUCAAAGCUUGGCUCAGCAUGGAUGGAAAUCAUGCAAUGAGUGUAAACGUAUAAGCCAGCCUAACUGCGAGACCGACGGGUCGAGCAGUAACGAAAGUUGGAGUUAGUGAUCCGGUGGUAUGUGAGUGGAAAUGCCAUCGCUCAACGGAUAAAAGCUACCCUGGGGAUAACAGGCUGAUCUCCCCCAAGCGUCCACAGCGACGGGGAGGUUUGGCACCUCGAUGUCGGCUCGUCGCAUCCUGGGGCUGUAUUCGGUCCCAAGGGUUUGGCUGUUCGCCAAUUAAAGCGGCACGCGAGCUGGGUUCAGAACGUCGUGAGACAGUUCGGUCCCUAUCUGUUGCGGGCGUAAGAGAUUUGAAGGGAGCUGUCCUUAGUACGAGAGGACCGGGAUGGACUGACCGCUGGUGCACCAGUUGUUCUGCCAAGAGCAUAGCUGGGUAGCUACGUCGGGACGAGAUAAACGCUGAAGGCAUCUAAGCGUGAAACUCCCCCUAAGAUAAGAUCUCUCAUCCUUUAUGGAGUAAGGCUCGUCGUAGACUAUGACGUUGAUAGGUCAGAGGUGGAAGCGCCGUAAGGUGUGUAGCUGACUGAUACUAAUAAGCCGAGGGCUUGACCU
rnacentral:rRNA from 1 species